GGAUCCUGUACUGAGCUGCCCCGAGGCCCUUCACUGUGCCCCACUCGGGGCAGCUCAGAACAGGAUGC
rfam:Heterocephalus glaber contig220205, whole genome shotgun sequence.